rnacentral:rRNA from 1 species
CCUACGGGGGGCUGCAGUGGGGAAUAUUGCACAAUGGGGGAAACCCUGAUGCAGCAACGCCGCGUGAGCGAUGAAGGCCUUCGGGUCGUAAAGCUCUGUCCUAAGGGAAGAAUACUGACGGUACCUUAGGAGGAAGCCCCGGCUAACUACGUGCCAGCAGCCGCGGUAAUACGUAGGGGGCUAGCGUUAUCCGGAAUUACUGGGCGUAAAGGGUGCGUAGGCGGCCCUUCAAGUCAGAGGUGAAAGGCUACGGCUCAACCGUAGUAAGCCUUUGAAACUGUAGGGCUUGAGUGCAGGAGAGGGGGGUGGAAUUCCAAGGGUAGCGGUGAAAUGGGUAAAUAUUGGGGGGAACACAAUUGGCGAAGGCGGCUUUCUGGACUGUAACUGACGCUGGGGAACGAAAGCGUGGGAGCGAACAGGAUUAGAUACCCUAGUAGUC